ACAAUCAAUUGGCCCCGAAGGACACAUUUAUGAGAUUCCCAGAGUAUAGCUGGAUUGGUGCCUGGAUCAAAUAUCUCCCCUCCUGAUCUUUCAACUGGUCCUUCAAUACAAAAGUAUUCAGUGAUAGUCUGAAAGUGAAAACUG